rnacentral:rRNA from 1 species
AAAGAUUAAGCCAUGCAUGUCUAAGUACAAUCCUCUUGAGGGAGAAACUGCGAAAGGCUCAUUAAAUCACAUCUAAUGUACUGGAUAGUUACAGUUACUUGGAUAACUGCGGUAAUUCUGGAGCUAAUACAUGCAAACCAGCCCCGACUCACGGAGGGGUGCUUUUAUUAGACUAAAACCAAACGGCUUCGGUCGUCCCACUGGUGAAUCUGAAUAACUUUGAGCGGAUCGCAUGGCUUCACGCCGGCGACGUAUCCUUCCAAGGUGUGACCUAUCAACUGUCGACUGU